rnacentral:tRNA from 1 species
UACAAUAUGGUGUAUGUGCACGUAAAUUUUUGGAUUUUAAAGGAAAAGUUCAAUUCUUUUUUUUGUAG